UACGUAGGGUGCAAGCGUUGUCCGGAAUUAUUGGGCGUAAAGAGCUCGUAGGCGGUCUGUCGCGUCGGCUGUGAAAACCCGGAGCUCAACUCCGGGCCUGCAGUCGAUACGGGCAGACUGGAGUUCGGCAGGGGAGACUGGAAUCCUGGUGUAGCGGUGAAAUGCGCAGAUAUCAGGAGGAACACCGGUGGCGAAGGCGGGUCUCUGGGCUGACACUGACGCUCGAUGCACGAAAGCGUGGGGAGCAAACAGG
rnacentral:rRNA from 1 species